rnacentral:rRNA from 1 species
GCUUACGGCCAUACCAACCUGGCUAUGCCUGAUCUCGUCUGAUCUCGUAAGCUAAGCAGGUUUGGGCCUGGUUAGUACUUGGAUGGGAGACCGCCUGGGAAUACCAGGUGCUGUAAGCU